rnacentral:rRNA from 1 species
GCAGCUACACAUGCAAGUCGAGCGGUAGCACAGAGAGCUUGCUCUCGGGUGACGAGCGGCGGACGGGUGAGUAAUGUCUGGGAAACUGCCUGAUGGAGGGGGAUAACUACUGGAAACGGUAGCUAAUACCGCAUAACGUCGCAAGACCAAAGAGGGGGACCUUCGGGCCUCUUGCCAUCAGAUGUGCCCAGAUGGGAUUAGCUAGUAGGUGGGGUAACGGCUCACCUAGGCGACGAUCCCUAGCUGGUCUGAGAGGAUGACCAGCCACACUGGAACUGAGACACGGUCCAGACUCCUACGGGAGGCAGCAGUGGGGAAUAUUGCACAAUGGGCGCAAGCCUGAUGCAGCCAUGCCGCGUGUAUGAAGAAGGCCUUCGGGUUGUAAAGUACUUUCAGCGGGGAGGAAGGCGUUGUGGUUAAUAACCACAGCGAUUGACGUUACCCGCAGAAGAAGCGCCGGCUAACUCCGUGCCAGCAGCCGCGGUAAUACGGAGGGUGCGAGCGUUAAUCGGAAUUACUGGGCGUAAAGCGCACGCAGGCGGUCUGUCAAGUCGGAUGUGAAAUCCCCGGGCUCAACCUGGGAACUGCAUUCGAAACUGGCAGGCUAGAGUCUUGUAGAGGGGGGUAGAAUUCCAGGUGUAGCGGUGAAAUGCGUAGAGAUCUGGAGGAAUACCGGUGGCGAAAGCGGCCCCCUGGACAAAGACUGACGCUCAGUGCGAAAGCGUGGGGAGCAAACAGGAUUAGAUACCCUGGUAGUCCACGCCGUAACGAUGUCGACUUGGAGGUUGUGCCCUUGAGCGUGCUUCCGGAGCUAACGCGUUAAGUCGACGCCUGGGGAGUACGGCCGCAAGGUAAACUCAAUGAAA